rnacentral:rRNA from 1 species
CCCUGGCUCAGGACGAACGCUGGCGGCGUGCCUAAUACAUGCAAGUCGAGCGAAUGAUAGGGAGCUUGCUCCCUUGAUUUAGCGGCGGACGGGUGAGUAACACGUGGGCAACCUACCUGUAAGACUGGGAUAACUUCGGGAAACCGGAGCUAAUACCGGAUAAUUUCUUUUCUCGCAUGAGAAGAGAUGGAAAGACGGUUUCGGCUGUCACUUACAGAUGGGCCCGCGGCGCAUUAGCUAGUUGGUGAGGUAAUGGCUCACCAAGGCCACGAUGCGUAGCCGACCUGAGAGGGUGAUCGGCCACACUGGGACUGAGACACGGCCCAGACUCCUACGGGAGGCAGCAGUAGGGAAUCUUCCGCAAUGGACGAAAGUCUGACGGAGCAACGCCGCGUGAACGAAGAAGGCCUUCGGGUCGUAAAGUUCUGUUGUUAGGGAAGAACAAGUACCAGAGUAACUGCUGGUACCUUGACGGUACCUAACCAGAAAGCCACGGCUAACU